GUUGAAACACUGAUUUUCGUCUGGUCACCGAAGUUAAGCAGCGUUGAGCCUGAUCAGUAAUUAGAUUGAGGACCGCUUGGGAAUACCAGGUGCUGUAAG